rnacentral:rRNA from 1 species
AUUGAACGCUGGCGGCAGGCCUAACACAUGCAAGUCGGACGAGUGGCGGACGGGUGAGUAAUGUAUGGGAAACUGCCUGAUGGAUGGGGAUAACUACUGGAAACGGUAGCUAAUACCGCAUACCAUCGGAUGUGCCCAGAUGGGAUUAGCUUGUAGGUGGGGUAACGGCUCACCUAGGCGACGAUCCCUAGCUGGUCUGAGAGGAUGACCAGCCACACGGGAACUGAGACACGGCCCAGACUCCUACGGGAGGCAGCAGUGGGGAAUAUUGCACAAUGGGCGCAAGCCUGAUGCAGCCAUGCCGCGUGUAUGAAGAAGGCCUUCGGGUUGUAAAGUACUUUCAGCGGGGAGGCGUUACCCACAGAAGAAGCACCGGCUAACUCCGUGCCAGCCGCCGCGGUAAUAC